UACGUCUCACGUAACUGGCGAAAAGUCGCGGUGCAGAUCGGCUGUCGGCGAAAGGUGGGCUUCCACCGGGGAACGUGAGAUUUCAACAGCCGUUCGCCUGGGCAGCCACC
rnacentral:ncRNA from 2 species